UACGUAGGUGGCAAGCGUUGUCCGGAUUUACUGGGCGUAAAGGGAGCGUAGGCGGAUACUUAAGUGGGAUGUGAAAUACCUGGGCUUAACUUGGGUGCUGCAUUCCAAACUGGGUGUCUAGAGUGUUGGAGAGGAAAGUGGAAUUCCUAGUGUAGCGGUGAAAUGCGUAGAGAUUAGGAAGAACACCAGUGGCGAAGGCGACUUUCUGGACAAUAACUGACGCUGAGGCUCGAAAGCGUGGGGAGCAAACAGGAUUAGAUACCCUGGUAGUCCACGCCGUAAACGAUGGGUACUAGGUGGAGGAGGGAUCGACUCCUCCUGUGCCGCCGUUAACACAAUAAGUACCCCGCCUGGGGAGUACGGUCGCAAGAUUAAA
rnacentral:rRNA from 1 species